rnacentral:tRNA from 1 species
GGAAGAAUACGUUAAAAGGUAAACGAGCUGAUUGCUAAUCAGUAGCUCUGAAAUAUAGCCUUGUGGGUUCGAUUCCCACUUCUUCCGCCA